rnacentral:rRNA from 1 species
AUUGAACGCUGGCGGCAGGCUUAACACAUGCAAGUCGAGCGAGCGGCGGACGGGUGAGUAAUGUCUGGGAAACUGCCUGAUGGAGGGGGUUAACUACUGGAAACGGUAGCUAAUACCGCAUACCAUCAGAUGUGCCCAGAGGGGUUUAGCUAGUAGGUGGGGUAAUGGGUCACCUAGGCGACGAUCCCUAGCUGGUCUGAGAGGAUGACCAGCCACCCUGGAAAUGGGACACGGUCCAGACUCCUACGUGAGGCAGCAGUGGGGAAUAGUGCACAAUGGGCGAAAGCCUGAUGCAGCCAUGCCGCGUGUAUGAAGAAGGCCUACGGGUUGUAAAGUGCUAUCAGCGGGGAGGCGUUACCCGCAGAAGAAGCACCGGCUAACUCCGUGCCAGCAGCCGCGGUAAUAC